CCUACGGGAGGCAGCAGUGGGGAAUAUUGGGCAAUGGAGGAAACUCUGACCCAGCGACGCCGCGUGCGGGAUGAAGGCCUUCGGGUUGUAAACCGCUUUCAGUAGGGAAGAAGCGAAAGUGACGGUACCUACAAAAGAAGCACCGGCUAACUAUGUGCCAGCAGCCGCGGUAAUACAUAGGGUGCAAGCGUUGUCCGGAAUUAUUGGGCGUAAAGAGCUCGUAGGUCGUUUGUUACGUCGGAUGUGAAAACCUGAGGCUCAACCUCAGGCCUGCAUUCGAUACGGGCAAACUAGAGUUUGGUAGGGGAGACUGGAAUUCCUGGUGUAGCGGUGGAAUGCGCAGAUAUCAGGAGGAACACCAAUGGCGAAGGCAGGUCUCUGGGCCAAUACUGACACUGAGGAGCGAAAGUCUGGGGAGCGAACAGGAUUAGAUACCCUGGUAGUCCAGACCGUAAACGGUGGGCACUAGUUGUGGGAACCUUCCACGGUUUCUGCGACGCAGCUACGCAUAAGUGCCCGCCGUCGGGAGGUACGUAGCGCGAGAAGUAAACGUAACGAAAGGAAAGUUAGUAACGGUCGUGAGACGUGCGAACGGACGACGACGAGGGAGGAGG
rnacentral:rRNA from 1 species